rnacentral:rRNA from 1 species
UACGUAGGGUGCGAGCGUUAAUCGGAAUUACUGGGCGUAAAGCGUGCGCAGGCGGUUUUGUAAGCCAGAUGUGAAAGCCCCGGGCUUAACCUGGGAAUGGCAUUUGGGACUGCAAGGCUUGAGUGCGGCAGAGGAGACUGGAAUUCCUGGUGUAGCAGUGAAAUGCGUAGAUAAUCAGGAGGAAUACCGAUGGCGAAGGCAGGUCUCUGGGCUGACACUGACGCUCAUGCACGAAAGCGUGGGGAG